GCGAACCGGGGGAACUGAAACAUCUAAGUACCCCGAGGAAAAGAAAUCAACCGAGAUUCCCCCAGUAGCGGCGAGCGAACGGGGAGCAGCCCAGAGUCUGAAUCAGCUUGUGUGUUAGUGGAACGGUCUGGAAAGUCCGACGGUACAGGGUGAUAGUCCCGUACACCAAAAUGCACAGGUUGUGAACUCGAAGAGUAGGGCGGGACACGUGGUAUCCUGUCUGAAUAUGGGGGGACCAUCCUCCAAGGCUAAAUACUCCUGACUGACCGAUAGUGAACCAGUACCGUGAGGGAAAGGCGAAAAGAACCCCGGCGAGGGGAGUGAAAAAGAACCUGAAACCGUGUACGUACAAGCAGUGGGAGCACCUUCGGGUGUGACUGCGUACCUUUUGUAUAAUGGGUCAGCGACUUAUAUUCUGUAGCAAGGUUAACCGUAUAGGGGAGCCGCAGGGAAACCGAGUCUUAACUGGGCGUUAAGUUGCAGGGUAUAGACCCGAAACCCGGUGAUCUAGCCAUGGGCAGGUUGAAGGUUGGGUAACACUAACUGGAGGACCGAACCGACUAAUGUUGAAAAAUUAGCGGAUGACUUGUGGCUGGGGGUGAAAGGCCAAUCAAACCGGGAGAUAGCUGGUUCUCCCCGAAAGCUAUUUAGGUAGCGCCUCGUGAACUCAUCUUCGGGGGUAGAGCACUGUUUCGGCUAGGGGGUCAUCCCGACUUACCAACCCGAUGCAAACUACGAAUACCGAAGAAUGUUAUCACGGGAGACACACGGCGGGUGCUAACGUCCGUCGUGAAGAGGGAAACAACCCAGACCGCCAGCUAAGGUCCCAAAGUCAUGGUUAAGUGGGAAACGAUGUGGGAAGGCACAGACAGCCAGGAUGUUGGCUUAGAAGCAGCCAUCAUUUAAAGAAAGCGUAAUAGCUCACUGGUCGAGUCGGCCUGCGCGGAAGAUGUAACGGGGCUAAACCAUGCACCGAAGCUGCGGCAGCGACACUAUGUGUUGUUGGGUAGGGGAGCGUUCUGUAAGCCUGCGAAGGUGUGCUGUGAGGCAUGCUGGAGGUAUCAGAAGUGCGAAUGCUGACAUAAGUAACGAUAAAGCGGGUGAAAAGCCCGCUCGCCGGAAGACCAAGGGUUCCUGUCCAACGUUAAUCGGGGCAGGGUGAGUCGACCCCUAAGGCGAGGCCGAAAGGCGUAGUCGAUGGGAAACAGGUUAAUAUUCCUGUACUUGGUGUUACUGCGAAGGGGGGACGGAGAAGGCUAUGUUAGCCGGGCGACGGUUGUCCCGGUUUAAGCAUGUAGGCUGGUUAUCCAGGCAAAUCCGGAUAAUCAAGGCUGAGGUGUGAUGACGAGGCACUACGGUGCUGAAGUAACAAAUGCCCUGCUUCCAGGAAAAGCCUCUAAGCAUCAGGUAACAUCAAAUCGUACCCCAAACCGACACAGGUGGUCAGGUAGAGAAUACCAAGGCGCUUGAGAGAACUCGGGUGAAGGAACUAGGCAAAAUGGUGCCGUAACUUCGGGAGAAGGCACGCUGGUGUGUAGGUGAAGUCCCUGCGGAUGGAGCUGAGACCAGUCGAAGAUACCAGCUGGCUGCAACUGUUUAUUAAAAACACAGCACUGUGCAAACACGAAAGUGGACGUAUACGGUGUGACGCCUGCCCGGUGCCGGAAGGUUAAUUGAUGGGGUUAUCCGUAAGGAGAAGCUCUUGAUCGAAGCCCCGGUAAACGGCGGCCGUAACUAUAACGGUCCUAAGGUAGCGAAAUUCCUUGUCGGGUAAGUUCCGACCUGCACGAAUGGCGUAAUGAUGGCCAGGCUGUCUCCACCCGAGACUCAGUGAAAUUGAACUCGCUGUGAAGAUGCAGUGUACCCGCGGCAAGACGGAAAGACCCCGUGAACCUUUACUAUAGCUUGACACUGAACAUUGAGCCUUGAUGUGUAGGAUAGGUGGGAGGCUUUGAAGCGUGGACGCCAGUCUGCGUGGAGCCAACCUUGAAAUACCACCCUUUAAUGUUUGAUGUUCUAACGUUGGCCCCUGACCGGGGUUGCGGACAGUGUCUGGUGGGUAGUUUGACUGGGGCGGUCUCCUCCCAAAGCGUAACGGAGGAGCACGAAGGUUAGCUAAUCCUGGUCGGACAUCAGGAGGUUAGUGCAAUGGCAUAAGCUAGCUUGACUGCGAGCGUGACGGCGCGAGCAGGUGCGAAAGCAGGUCAUAGUGAUCCGGUGGUUCUGAAUGGAAGGGCCAUCGCUCAACGGAUAAAAGGUACUCCGGGGAUAACAGGCUGAUACCGCCCAAGAGUUCAUAUCGACGGCGGUGUUUGGCACCUCGAUGUCGGCUCAUCACAUCCUGGGGCUGAAGUAGGUCCCAAGGGUAUGGCUGUUCGCCAUUUAAAGUGGUACGCGAGCUGGGUUUAGAACGUCGUGAGACAGUUCGGUCCCUAUCUGCCGUGGGCGCUGGAGAAUUGAGGGGGGCUGCUCCUAGUACGAGAGGACCGGAGUGGACGCAUCACUGGUGUUCGGGUUGUCAUGCCAAUGGCACUGCCCGGUAGCUAAAUGCGGAAGAGAUAAGUGCUGAAAGCAUCUAAGCACGAAACUUGCCCCGAGAUGAGUUCUCCCUGAGACUUUAAGUCUCCUGAAGGAACGUUGAAGACGACGACGUUGAUAGGCCGGGUGUGUAAGCGCAGCGAUGCGUUGAGCUAACCGGUACUAAUGAACCGUGAGGCUUAACCUU
rnacentral:rRNA from 2 species